UUGAAACUUCACCUGCCCUCCUUCGACUUAAAACGGCUCCCUCCAUAGCAGUGCCAUUGUAGUCCAGAAGGGGCGCUGUUUCACCAAUUUGGAGAAUUGGUGAAACACUGGUAAUGGUGCACCAGCACAACGAAAACAGCCUGCACAUCCCGCCAGUCAAGGUUUUAUGGCCUACUGCAGCAGCCGUCUAACUCUAUCAGUUCUUACGCGUGUUACUGUGAACUACAAUACCGUUGAAGAGUUAGACCAUCAUUCAGCCGGAGAUGAUACAGUAAGUGUCCAAAGUCAUCUUUGAAUUAGGGCUUCAGGAGCAUUCCUUAAAGAUAG